GGGACAGACUACAGCUGAAGUGAUGGAGACGACGGACGCGCUGUGUCUGAGCCGGUUCCGAGCCCAGCGGUUGUUGCUAAACAACCAGCCCUGACGCUUGAGAUGUCAACGAGUGCAAUUCCUGCCCCAAGCCAUUACAGUCCUGCUAACACUCAACCACCGUAUAAGGGAGAAGAAGGCAAGGAGAAAAGCCCUGGAGCCCAGCGCUUUCCCCUCCGCCGUGGGUUGCAGCUCUGACACGUCAUCGUCGCGACCGGACGGCGGAACGACACCUCAGGGAGCACCCCUGGAUGUGAGGGCUGGCACCCACCACCCCGAGGAGUUACCGGCUCCUGUCUGCCCGUGCCCGAGGGACACCUGGAAUCCCGGGAUAUGAGCGUCUGAAGAGCCUGAGCUAUUUUGGGAUUUGUCUGUACUACACUGAAAAUGACACCUGUUACGCACAGACACAAAUGAGAAGAAUUACAAGCUCCUGGUUUCUCAGAUAUGAUUCUGCAGAAAAUGGAACGGGAUCCUGCGAGCCAGGGACCUGGGAGAGCAGCACAGGCUCCGCUGUGGGGUGAAGGGGAUGACCCUGGUGAACCGAACAGCCAGACACCAGUACAAAAAAUAUAAAAAGUCUGUUGGAGCUGAUGCAAGGGGAAAUCAAGCCUCCAUGUGACCAGAAGAAGUAGUGCAUGAUCAACUAAAUGCCACAAUACAUGGUUUCUUAUGCAAUCAAGCCCAUGGGAGUUCAAGCCUUGCACAUACACUUUGUGGCCAAAGCUGCGAGGAUUAACUCCUUCGGUUAACGACGGCGAGAGCACCCGGCUCCUGAAAUGAGUCAUCCUCGCUGAAGUAGGCCAGUGUUUGCUGCCAUGGGAAGCUGCCUGUGCUGGUUUCAGUUACCCCUGAGUUAUCUCAGAAGCUCCAACGUGCAGGGUCAGGGCGGAUUUUCCACAUUCCCCGUUUUCCUCUCUGCUUUGCACCGCUCCAGCUCUGCAGGCAGACAGGGACCACCUCGCUGGACCCCCGAGCCCCACGGAGCUCUGAAUGAGCAAGAUAAAGCACUUGGAGCCUCAGGAAUGGGACAGUUGACUGGUGCUUUUAGCUCACAGCAGUUUUGUCAGUCGUGUGGUAUAUUUAAGAAGGUAAAAUGAAGCUUUGGUUUAUUUCAAAUUCUCUCUUUUUGGUUGCUUUCAGGGGAAGGGUGGCAUGCGUGUUAUGGUUUGCUUUCAUUUAAAAAUCACCAACCCUGGAAUGUUUCUACCUUUGCCUGACUGUUAAGUACUUUCUGGUGGCACUCAGGCUCCCAAGAAGACUCAAAGCCACACUGCCCCGUGCACAACUAAAUGUGUAACUAAGAAGAGUUGGCACAAUGGAAAACUUCAGCACUUGGAACUGAGUAAUGAGGCCCAAAAAAAUUAAAGUCAUGUUCUGACACUGUUGGUGAGAAUUUGGCAUUUUCUGUAAAGAAAUGGGGGCCAUGAUUCCAUAGUAGAAAUUUAGUCUGCUUUUCUGAGUGGAGCCCAUGUACAUAUUUUAUACUGGUUUUGGGGUUCUUUUUGCCUCCCCCUUUUUUUUUUCCCUCCAAAGUCUAAAAGCAGGAAACAGAGCUUUGGUUUUGUAAGAACUGCCUAUGAGGGUACAAAGUCCUGGGCUAGAAAGCAAACUUGGUAAAUGGGAAUAUUCCACAGCCAUGGUUGGAAGCAGAGGAGAUCAGUAUCUCCAUGUGAAUGGCAGUGUAAGAAUCCAUUCCAAAACGAGGGCUCACAGCUGAUCACAGCUGGGCCAUGGGUUAAAAAAAUUAAAAACUUUUUAUAGUGUAGACACUGGAACAAGAUUUCACAACUUAUAAGUGGAGCAGUUCAGGCUGGAUGUUGGGGUGGGGAGAUCUUAUCUUGAGGAGAGUGGGAAGGAUGGAACCUCCCAGACAUCAAAAAUCUGCUGUCAUUGACAGUUUUCCUCAGCACCACGAAAGGAUCAGGGAGCAAUUCCUCAGUGAGCACAGGAAAUGUGGGCUUGCACUGCCUCUGGGCCAAACUGUACCUAAAGGUUCACCCUCAGUUCUCCGGCGUGUCCCGUGCGAUUCUCCGCCGUCACGCUGCAAUGACCUUAAUAGCAAUAACAUAUGGAGGCUGACAUUCCAGACAUCUCCCCCUCGUGCACAUCACUGCUGCUCUUGUGGGUGAUAAAAUAACCUCAGCCAUCCACUGAGGAAGGCCCUUGGUCUUUUUUAACGAUGAAGGAAACCCUCAUGGUCCUGCCCGCACUUCCAGCUUCCUGCUGGCGAAGCCUUGGCUCGGCUUUCGGUUUAAAUGCCAUCGGCCACACCUUCCUCCACUGCAGGAAACACAUUGUUAAAAUCAGGGCAUGUUCCUGUUUAACUAAAAGGCUGAGAUAAAUAAUCCAAAGGCCCCGAUUAUGCCAAACAAAUUCCUGCCCGAGACGUAGCAAGUCCGGGCAGCUGUAAAUCUGUAACCCCCCGACCUCGGCAUCCACGGAAGGGAUGUCUUGGCACAUCCCGGGGGGAGUGGCUGGGGAUAAAGGGAAGGAGCAAAGAAUCGGGCAAAGGUGGGCAGGGGAAUGGAAAAGUUCCUUCCCUUUACCAACCCCGAGUCCUAAAAGUUGCUUUAAAAUGCAAAGUAGUCCGUUUCUCAAGUGUUGAUGUGGGGGAGCUCUUUUUCAAGACCUUUGAUUUGUCAGCCUUACAAACAACUCACCACCUCAGUGAAACGACCACCGUUUCCAACAAAAAUCUUUCUCGGCACAGAAUUCCCAGCCAGCUCCAUUCAGGGAAUACCAUCAGAAACAGGAACAUGUAGCCCAGCUGCCAGGACUGUUUCCCCUAAACCUCACCAAUUGGAGGGUGGUUAAUUUUUAAAUUUUUCUUUUGACUGUUGUCAUAAAAAAUCAUCCUUUAAAAAAACCCUUAACUCUUUACUGUAGCAAAACAAUUGUCUGCAUUGACCUCGAAUAAAGGAAUUUUAGUUGUUGCUUAGGGAAACUGGCAAGUUUUUCAUGUUUUCUCAUUAAAAUUAAUGAAAUUUUGCAUAUGGGAAAGCUGAGUAAAAUAAAGGUUAAAUAAUUUGACCCACGUUGUAUGUGGAAUCAGGGUCAAAGCUGAUAGGGAGGUUUAGGCGUUCCUUGCUCCCAGAUUUUAUUCAAGUUGUGCCUCUUAAUUAUAGUCCUUAUUGUCCAGAAGGCCCUGAGUCAAUUAGUGAGACAUAACCAUCAUGUGAGACAGAAGCUGCUGGAACAGCCUGGCUUUGGGAGGAGAUGGAUAAGGAAUUAUUUCGAGGAGACACUUUCUUUCAGUUUUCAAAGCAAAGCAGAAAUAAAACUUUGAAGCCUUCCUUCAGUUUUCACGUGUGCAUAGAGAACAACAGACAAUUCAUGGUCUUUUAGUACCACCCUGACAGCCACUGGGACGUGCAGAUUUUCAGGAAACUGGAGACUCAGAAUUCCAAAAUAGGAAUAUUUGCUAACACAGCAACCAGAGUCCAUGAAGGGAUAUUUUACAGUGUUUUUCCCCACUGUGAUUACAGGAGAAAAGUUACAGAGUCACAACAAACAUUUAGUUUUUUUCCAAAAGGUUUAUUGUUUUCCAGACAAAUUCAAUUAGUGAAUUCCAGAAGUGUGGCCAGUGAGUCCUUUCUCUGCCAGCCCAGUGCAUACACAUAAAAUCACUGAAUCCCAGAAUGGUUUGAGGUGGAAGGGACCUUAAAGAUCAUCUCAUUCCACCCCCUGCCAUGGGCAGGGACACCUUCCACUAGCCCAGGUUGCUCC